rnacentral:tRNA from 1 species
CCCUGGUUAGCUCAGUUGGUAGAACGCUCCACCUGUAAUGGAGAGGUCCCGGGUUCGAUACCCGAACCAGGCG